AUGAGGCGACAUUUUUCUGACACAAGUCUAUCUGGAGUUAGUGUUCAGCAUAAUUUAAUUUAUGGUUUUGUUUUUCCUAGGUCAAAAGUGAAAAAUGUCUUAUUUUUACAACCGAUCAUAGACAGGAUGUUGCAAAGGUAUAUGCACUUUUGGAAAAGCAGAGUGUGUGAAAUACUGUGCCAUUGAUGCAACAGAACGGAAAAGUGAUGUUGUUAUCUCCAGAAGGUGGCACUGUGUUCUCUCUGGGCUAAAAUUAUAUGCUUAGCUUUGAAAUGUAGAUUCAGAGCCAAUGAAAAUCUGAGGGGUUUUGUUCUUUUUUGUUAUGAAACACAUACUUCAUUUUACACCUACAUUGUUAUUUAACCAUCCCAGAUAUGGUAUUUCAUCACUUUUAUUUUUGCAAGAUUAAAUUUAAAUGCAGGUGUAUAUUUCUAGCAUUAUCUAUACAGUGCUUUAUAUUUUCAUAUAACUUGCACAGUGCUUCUCGGAAAUGCAUGUUUUAUAGCCAUUUGGUAGAUGGGAGAGAUGGCAAUACAAAAAUUGUGUGAUAUACCUAAGGUUAUAUAACAGUUCAGUUUUCUUAGCUAGUUUUAGAAUUAGGUUCCUGUGUGUAUUAGGUAGUAGCUUAAUAAUGCUUAAGUUUCUCUGAAAGAUGUAAUAGAAAACCAAGCAGAUUUUAAAAAAGAUUUAACCAACAUAAAUUGCCUACUGAGUAGCAAAAAAAAGGGGGACUCUUAAAAUGGCUCUGGCUUUGUGUUUUAAUUAGAAAUGAGGCACACAUUUCUCCUGAAGUUUCCGUGUGCCCUUUGAAAGUAAGCAGCUGAUAGGAAAAGCAGUUUUAUUUGUAUUGCAAAAUCCGCUGGCUGAUAACGAAGGACUGACCAAAAGGGAAAUGGGUGAGGCCUUCACAUCCUGCGCUCUGUCUGCCCUGUGCACGCCGGGCGCUCCGCGGAGAGCGCGCUGGGGUCGCGCCUGGAAUGAGCCUGAGCCGCCCCGCGGCGCCCCGGCGGGGGAGGCUCUGCUGCGCUGCGCGGCCGCUGCCCGGUAAGGCGCCGGGUUACGGCCGGGCAGCAGCUUGGCGGGAGGGUUAGCGGCGGGACUGCUCUGAUCCCGGGGUUUCCCCGCUCCGGUUCGUUAGCGUCCCCUCCCCGAGCGGCGCGGCGCGGCACGGCC
rnacentral:lncRNA from 1 species